GACGUAGGGCGCGAGCGUUGUCCGGAUUUAUUGGGCGUAAAGCGCACGUAGGCGGGUUCUUAAGUCAGGGGUGAAAUCCUGGAGCUCAACUCCAGAACUGCCUUUGAUACUGGGAAUCUCGAGUCCGGGAGAGGUGAGUGGAACUGCGAGUGUAGAGGUGAAAUUCGUAGAUAUUCGCAAGAACACCAGUGGCGAAGGCGGCUCACUGGCCCGGUACUGACGCUGAGGCACGAAAGCGUGGGGAGCAAACAGG
rnacentral:rRNA from 1 species